rnacentral:tRNA from 1 species
GCCUUCGUGGUGUAAUGGUAGCAUGCUGGGCUGGUAUUCCAGAGGUCCGUGGUUCGAUUCCCGGCGAAGGCA